GCCCAGACUCCUACGGGAGGCAGCAGUGAGGAAUAUUGGUCAAUGGACGAGAGUCUGAACCAGCCAAGUAGCGUGAAGGAUGACCGCCCUAUGGGUUGUAAACUUCUUUUAUAAAGGAAUAAAACGAGGCACGUGUGCCUUUUUGCAUGUACUUUAUGAAUAAGGAUCGGCUAACUCCGUGCCAGCAGCCGCGGUAAUACGGAGGAUGCGAGCGUUAUCCGGAUUUAUUGGGUUUAAAGGGUGCGUAGGCGGACUGUUAAGUCAGCGGUAAAAGCCGGGGGCUCACCCCCGGCGAGCCGUUGAAACUGGCUGUCUUGAGAUGUCGAGAGGUAUGCGGAAUGCGCAGUGUAGCGGUGAAAUGCAUAGAUAUCACGCAGAACCCCGAUUGCGAAGGCAGCAUGCCGGCUUCCGACUGACGCUGAAGCACGAAAGCGUGGGGAUCGAACAGGAUUAGAUACCCGGGUAUC
rnacentral:rRNA from 1 species